GAGACAACCACACCAGAAGAUACAACAACCCUCACCACAGAACCAUCAACAGCAGCAUCUACAACAGCUGAGACAACCACUCCAGAAGAUAAAACAACACUCACCACAGAACCAUCAACAGCAGCAUCUACAACAGCUGAGACAACCACUCCCGAAGAUACAACAACACUCACCACAGAACCAUCAACAGCAGCUUCUACAAUAG